CUGUGAUGGUGCUGGGGAGGCAGAGCCAGGAGCUGCUCAGGGGCUUCCUCCUGGUUCCACUCUGUGAUGCUGAGCUGCUGGGGACCGUGGUCUGCAGCCACUGCUGUCCCCUGGCACCCAGAGUCAAUGCGAAGAGAAAAUCAUACAGUAGCUGAAUUUUACAUUUCCACGGAGAUUUUGCCGGGACAAAAUGAAUAAGCGAUCAUAAAUUACUUCAAAAGCUCGGCUGUGUUGUUGGGAGUGGGGCUUUUUAAUUAACUGGAGGGAUUUGUCACCACUUCCCCCACUGCCCCUGCGAGUGGAAGCGAUUGCCACCAGACGUGCCUGGGCAGCCCAGCCCUGGGCAGACGAUGUGACUGCAAACCAGAAUUUGGAUGAGCUCGAAGCUGGAAAGCGUCAGCGCCUGCUCCCCAGCUCCCUUUUUUAGGUUUAGGGAUGCUGGUUUCUGCCUCUGGGUCCUGGCUCGUUGGUUAACUCAGUCGUAUCCAGGAGCAGUUAAUACAUAAUACCAAAACCUAAAGCAGCUGGAGCCAAGUCCUGCGGACGCCACUUGAGAACAUGCAGAACCUUCCUAAAUCCCCUCCGAGCAGCCAUCGGAGCGGUUUGUCAUUUAGCUCAGCGCCGAGCAGCCGUCUGUCUGCCCUGUGCGCUCACACACAAGUUUCCAAGAGGGAGAAAAAAAGGAAAAAAAAAAAACCUUUGUAAGGAUCCCGGCGUCGGGGAGCUGCUGCCAGCAGAGCCAGACACUUGCACCACGCUGGAAACAAACGACGUGCCGGGCAGCCGAGGCUGCUCGCUAUUGAAAAGGAGAAAGAACUCAUCCGGCGCUUUAGAGUAACGGAUGGCUUCUGGAACAGCGAGGGCAGCCGAGGAAGGAUUGCAUUUAUUAUCCUUGUCAUGUCUUUUAUUAGCAAAGUUAUAUCACCGGCAUUUUUCUUGCUGCUUUCUCAUUGUUUUCCCGCAACAGCCGCCACCUUUCCCUUUGCUAUCUCAUGCGGUGGGGCUGGGCCAAAAGUUUCUGCUUUUGGUGAUGUGGGGGUGCGACGUUGGGUGCUAAAAAGGGGUGGUGGGCAUGUUCGGUCCCCUCCAUCCUCAGGCUGUCCCCAGGCACGUGGCAUGGCCAGGCUGCUCUCUGCAUGGUACAAACCGCACUGAGGCAUCAUCUAAGAGGCCUCCUUCAGACCACGGGCACCUCUGCCAUCCCAGAAAAACCAGUGCUCCCAGCUCAGCAGGAUCCUGGGAUCCCUGGGCAGGCUCUCGUGCCCAUCUGAUCCCCAACGAUGUGGUGCGAGCCCCCCCCAGCUCCAGGGACGGGUUCUGCAGCUGCACCCAGCCUGGCUCGUGGCAGAACUGGGCCUUGCACCGGCUUUUAUUUCCCCUCUCCCCCGUCCACAAAUGAUCUCCUUCAAAUGAAGUUCCUGCGAUGGUUGUUGGCCAUGAUCCCAGUAGGGCAGGCGAUCACGUUGGAUUAUUUUAUUAGCGAGAUGUAGCUCUGUAGCUCAUUGCCGGGGCUGCAGCUCGGUGCUGUGCCCACUCCCAGGUCCGGAGCUGCCCCUGCCCUGUGGACGGGCUGGGCUGCCCGGCAGCUGCUUGAAAUGAGGGACUUGCUGUUUUAUCUGUCUUAAAUAUGAUACAAAUAGCAUAUCAAAACACGUAAAUGGGGCUGGGUGAGGUUGACACUUCUGGGGAAGUUGCUUUGGCUGCGUUUGGAGUUUUUGCCGAGUUCCUGCC